UUUGGUUCCAUCAUUUCCGUUAAUAGUCUGUGGAUUACAAAUCAAUGUACAGUACAAAAUGUAUAAAUGGCCACUGUUAAAUGAAGCACGUUACAUGGAUCUACGUUUAUUACCUGAAGAAUGGCAUGCUUUGUUUCAUCCAUGGGAGCAAGACAUGUACCUUCAAAGUUGAACAAUGGUGCACACCUGAUCCUAUCUGUUGCUGUGCGCCGUCUGGGAAGCUCGAGAAAGCAGUGAUGUCCUCUCCUGUGGUCCAUAUCCAGGAUGAUCCCUGUCAGUGUGAAAUAGAAAACAAAUAUAUUAACAUUUUAGACUGUUUGAUAACACUACGUAUCAAAUGUGUAACGUAGAGUCAAAAAUGGUUUGUGGGGCGCAAGCGGGGUUUGCAUAAUUAAUAUAAAUGAAAAUGUCAAUAGGUGAUCAAAUAUACGGUCGGGCGUGAUCAAAACCAUCAUAAAGCUUUUCGGGCUUCAUAAUGGAUUUUAUAGUCCCCGGCCUUAUACAUGAUCACCUCUUAAUAUUCAAAGAAUGAUUCCUAAUUCCUUAAAUAUCACAAAAUGAAGAACCGUAAUACGUGUAUAUCAUUCAGUCAACUAAAAGAUGCCUGAGAGGUCUGAACAGGCAGCAUAUUGCCAGUUGGUCACUUUUAAGUUACCUUUCAUUUCACUGAAUGAUACUUUUUUAUUUUUUAUUAUAUGUCAUGGCCUAUACUAGUGUAAUAAUUAAACUAAUUGUAAUUUACACCAUAUCGAUAAGACUAACAUCAUGCAUGUAUCUACAUGUAGUAAUAAGUUAUUAACCAGACCAUUCAUUAAUUCCUUAUAAUGCAUCCAAAACUUAAAAAAACACAAAAAGUUGCUUUUUUGACUUUGCAAGAUUUUGAUUUUAACAUUAAAACAUAACAGUCACAGU
rnacentral:sRNA from 1 species